GGGAUAAGCGGAAGAAAUCCCGUCUAAUACCGCGUAAUAACUCCGAGAGGCAUCUCCUGGGGUUUAAAGGGUAACACCGGCUACGGAUGGCCAUGCGGCGCAUUAGCUAGUUGGCGGGGUAACGGCCCACCAAGGCGACGAUGCGUAGGGGUUCUGAGAGGAAGGUCCCCCACACUGGUACUGAGACACGGACCAGACUCCUACGGGAGGCAGCAGUGAGGAAUAUUGGUCAAUGGGCGCGAGCCUGAACCAGCCAAGUCGCGUGAGGGAAGACGGUCCUAUGGAUUGUAAACCUCUUUUGUCGGGGAGCAAAAGACGCCACGCGUGGCGUUCCGAGAGUACCCGAAGAAAAAGCAUCGGCUAACUCCGUGCCAGCAGCCGCGGUAAUACGGAGGAUGCGAGCGUUAUCCGGAUUUAUUGGGUUUAAAGGGUGCGCAGGCGGAAGAUCAAGUCAGCGGUAAAAUUGAGAGGCUCAACCUCUUCGAGCCGUUGAAACUGGUUUUCUUGAGUGAGCGAGAAGUAUGCGGAAUGCGUGGUGUAGCGGUGAAAUGCAUAGAUAUCACGCAGAACUCCGAUUGCGAAGGCAGCAUACCGGCGCUCAACUGACGCUCAUGCACGAAAGUGUGGGUAUCGAACAGGAUUAGAUACCCUGGUAGUCCACACAGUAAAC
rnacentral:rRNA from 1 species